GACGUAGGAGGCGAGCGUUGUCCGGAUUCAUUGGGCGUAAAGAGCACGCAGGCGGUUUGGCAAGUCGGAUGUGAAAGCCCGGAGCUCAACUCCGGACCUGCAUCCGAAACUGCCCGACUAGAGGUAGGUAGGGGAGAUCGGAAUUCCUGGUGUAGCGGUGAAAUGCGCAGAUAUCAGGAGGAACACCGGUGGCGAAGGCGGAUCUCUGGGCCUUACCGACGCUGGGGUGCGAAAGCAUGGGGAGCGAACGAGG
rnacentral:rRNA from 1 species